AUGAUGCAAACCAGCUGGGUAACCUUGGGCAAGUCAACUGAAGUUCGUCUGUUUUGUUUGCUGCUGCUGCUAAGUCGCUUCAGUCAUGUCCGACUCUGUGCGACCCCAUAGACGGCCUCCCACCAGGCUCCUCCGUCUCUGGGAUUCUCCAGGCAAGAUCACUGGAGUGGGUUGCCAUUUCCUUCUGUUUUGUUUCUUUCACCGUAAAUUGAGGAGGCUGAACUAAACAAGAACUCAGCAUUCAGUGUCUACCUUUAUCUUCGUGUAGUGCAGGGGACUCUGUGUGUGUGCCUGUUUAAAAAAAUUCAGGUAUCUGGCCCAACCAGUGGAUCUAACUCAAUAAAUCUGGGUCCCCAUGAAGCCGGUCCAUAGAGACUUGGACUCUGCAAGGAGUUGUUGCAAAGACUGUCCUCCACUAACCUGCAGGAAAAAGCACUCCUGAACUUCCCAGCCCUGUGCCCUACGUUUGAAUACACCAGAGAGUAAUUACAACGUGAAAAAAAUGCUUCCUUGCCCUCCAACUCCUCAGCUUCCUGAUAGCUCGCUUGGGGCAGGACGGGCCAAAGCAGGAUUUGCCCAUUUGGGUGCCACAAAACCAGGUUAAAUCCAGGCCAUUUCGCCAGAGCUCAGAGCAAAAAUCCUCUCCGUUCUCCAGUUGAGACCCCAGCUCAGUGUAGCAACACCGCCCUCUUGCGGCAGAGAACGGGACUCCGCCUGUUGAGGAGAACAAAUGCCAGGGGCGAUACCGCCCGAGAAAGCCCCAAGUUCUCCUGGAUCAGAGGGAGCAGGACCUUGUAGUGGACUUUGGCCCCUGUAAGAGCCCAUUGAGCGACUGAACUGAACUGAACUGAACUGAAGAGCCCAUUAACUUUUUUCUGCUGUGUGGUCACAAACGGAGCCUUAAACAUGCCAGGACUUUUCUCCACAAGGAGAUAAAACAAAUCAUAUGACCAAAGCAGCACAGCCUAAGUACACAACUAUUUCUUAAUUUCAGCACUCUUUAAAAUUAAUCAAAUUAAAAUAGACAUAGAAAAAUGCACAAAUUAUAAGUGUAUGUGUGCUAAGUGGCUCAGUUAUGUCUGACUCUUUUCGACCCAUAG